rnacentral:rRNA from 1 species
AAUCAAGCGUUUAAGGGCGUGUAGUGGAUGCCUUGGCACUGAAAGCCGAUGAAGGACGUGAUAUACUGCGAUAAGUUUCGGGGAGC